UGACUCACAUCUCCUUGCUGUUGGAUAGUGCUGCUCUAGAUCUAACCACCAUUUUGCAGGAAAUAUGAGGAACAAGGGAACAUGUCGAGCAGCACAACUGGGCUUCAGUCAGCACAACCCAGAAUGUGGAACCUGUAGGGCAAAUGACCGGGUUUCCUCUGUAUCUACAGGACAAGAAAAUCUACAGAUAAAACGAAACAUGAAGANNNNNNNNNNNNNNNNNNNNNNNNNNNNNNNNNACCCUGACUUGAACACUUAAACCAGAUAGGAAAUGUGCUCCCUAACUAGUUAUUUUUAUGCCCUUAAAAAAUCACUGUUCAUUUUGCCAGAUGUGCUAGUGCCUGAGGCUUCUCUGACCUCAGCCCACCAGGGAGGACUGCUCCGCACAACUUCCACAAAUGAGCACUUUAAACUUCAGCAUCAUAGGUGUCUGAUUCUUCAUUCUCCAGAGAUGUACAAAGGCUACUCAGUAAGUGCUCGGGGGAGGAAACACCGUCAGCCACAACCAUCAAGCUCAAAUAAACUCUAGGAGUCACAGGGAAGUUACCAGUGAUUGGACCAGUAUCAUGCCAAGAUUCAAAAACAGCUUCCUGCUCACGUCCCACUUUCUUUUUCUUCUUCUCUUCCUGCUCUUUCUUUUUCUGAACUCUCCAAGUAUGGAUCUUGUUCUCUUUCCCUGCAACCAGUUUCCAUUAUUCCUCCCAUAUUUCCUUCCUUGGCUCUUGUAUCAUAAAACUUUGGUAUCCAGUGUUUUUUCCAUCUUAGAAAAAAAUGAGCCCAUAUAUUUUUUUCUAAGCAAGCCUUCCUCCCCUCCAUUACCAGUAACAUAAGAAAUCUAAACAGAGGUUCAAAUUUUUAAUGGAGAAAGACAUGAGUUUAUAAGAAGCAAAUAUGAAACACGGAACUAUCCCUCAUCUUUGUGUAAAAAGCAAAUAAGCCUGCAUUUGUUCCUUUAUUGAUAUAGGUCCACUGCUUCUCCAAGUCUGGUCUGAGAACAGACAAGUCCAGAAAUUGAAAGCAAAUACUUAGGUAGUCAUGGAGCAUGUUGGCCGAGUAAUUUUACAUUCUUUAAAUCUAAUAUUAACAGCGAAAAACUGAAAUUAGUAUUUUAUAUGCUUUAUUUUAAAAUUUUAUUUUUCUAGUAAUUCCCUUUCCUUAUACUGGUCCAUGAAGGAUUGGAAC
rnacentral:lncRNA from 1 species